ACAGUAAGGACAGCUUUUGAAAGCCCCAUAAGAAAUACACGUAACGGACCACAGAACAACAAUAAUCGACCGUUGGGUAAGGACAUGACCUUGAAUUUUGGCUUGAAACUGUAGUGGCAAACCUUGUUACUAAAUAAAAUUUACCACCAUGUCAACAUUGUGCGUCAAAUUUGACAUUUUAGGUGUUUGGCAUUUAAUAUUGUAACUGUGAUUUAUUAUUUUUACUAAAUAGAAAAUGCGCGUUCGAACAAAUAAAUAGAAUAAAUAAUCUUGUGGAAACUGUACACAGGGCACAGGGGUGCGGUAUGCUGGUCUGGACACAGUUACGAGGACUGCUUUUAUAUAUCGGCCACAUGAAGGGCUGCAACAUAAAAGGUGGAUGCUUCAUGUAGCAUCUUAAGCUCGCUACUCACGUUCCAACGCCGCAGUACAAUUGUUUUGGAUAUGACGAAAUUGAAGUGUUUUUGAACGUCUGUGUAUGCGAUCAAGCAAAUCGGUUGGAUGUGGACGGUUGGUGAACAAGUCUGUCUGCAGCAGCAAUCCUGUUGUAUUGGAUGGAAAUUUGAUCAUGUGUGGACAUGACUCAACAGUGUAUGUUAUUCAAACCGUGAGAGCAGCUAUAAAAGUACAUUUUCGUCAUUUCGUCAGACAUGUUGUCAUCAGGAUCGCAAAUUUUUAACUGCAAGUUCGUAACGUGUGUAUGUACUUUUUAACAGAAUUGUACAACAGUUGCAUCCAAUACAAUCAUACAUAGUCUAAGAGCCAGUGGCCGGCUACCUGUAUGUAAUUGACCAGACCUCGAAUUUUGUACAGAGACUCUUCUCGAUCCAACAUACAAGGGGUGGGGACUUACUAAGCCCAGCGCGGCUGGCGCAGCUGGAGCUCAGGUACGCCAGGUACCAAAAAAUGACUAUUUUUAAAUGCAUUUGACCACGUCUGCCAAUUGGAAAUUUUAAAAUAUAUGUUUAUUUUUAUUAAAAAGUAACCAUGGCAGACCAUUAUCACGCGUCUAACAUCGUGGCAGACAAUUCUGAAAGUGCCAAAAAAUAUAAAAUUUUCAAACUAAUUCUGACCAAGUCUGCCAUUAACAUAUUUUGUUUAUUGUAGUCUUAGAAUAUUAUAUUUAUCACGGCAGACGUUUUUAUUGAGUAUACACUUCAGCAGAUAACAAAAUCUUAACUACUACCCGAGCAGAUAUAUAAAAAUGACGCAUUAUAUCUUACAUUUAUUUCAUCUGCUUUGUAAUUAAAUUUAUUGUUGUUUUUAAAAAUUGAUAUUUCUGUAGGAAUUCACAUAUCGGAUCCGAUAACUCCUGUACCUCUAGCGUUAUGUCAUUUAGAUUGUAGUAUUUGUAAAACGGUCAAAUCCGUGCUUUCUAAAUGUCUGGAACCAAAUAUUGAUCAGGAACCACCAUACAAUACAGAUGCAUUUUUAAUUGAUGGGUUUUUCAAUCUUCAUUCUAUGAAAGAAGUACCAAAAACAUUAGAAAAUAUUUCCAAAAAAAUUUUGCAGAUGAUAACAAAAUAUCUAGCACGAAGAAUCGACGUAAUUUUUGCAUCCAUCUAUAAAAGACAAUGAAAGAAGUCUACGACAUGAAGCAUUGUUAAUUGACUUCACAAUUUCUGGGCCUGACCAGGUACGACCAUCAGAUUUUACAAAAGAGAUAAAAAAUAUGAAAUUUAAAGAACCUCUCAUUGAUUUCUUUAUUAAAGAUUGGUGUAGUGAUGAUUUGUCGGUAAUCAACUGAUACAUUUGAACUUUCGAAACUGUCAUUCUUAACGAACUGUUAAUGAUAUUAUACAAUCAAAUAUCAAUUUUUAAAAACAACAAUAAAUUUAAUUUCAAUGAAAUAAAUGUAAGAUAUAAUGCGUCAUUUUUAUAUAUCUGUUCGGGUAGACUUGGUCAAAUUUAGUUUGAAAAUUUUAUAUUUUUUGGCACUUUCAAAAUCGUCUGCCACGAUGUUAGACGCGUGAUAAUGGUCUGCCAUGGUUAUUUUUUAAUAAAAAUAAACAUAUAUUUUAAAAUUUCCAGAUGGCAGACAUGGUCAAAUGCAUUUAAAAUUAGUAAUUUUUUGAUACCUGGCGUACCUGAGCUCCAGCUACGCCAGCCGCGCUGGGCUUAGUGAGUCCUCAGUCCUUGUAUGUUGGAUCGAGGAGACUCUCUGUACAAAAUUCGAGGUCUGGUCAAUUACAUACAGGUAGCCGGCCACUGGCUCUUAGACUAACAUCAUCAAAGGCGUUGAAGUGACAGAGAAGUUUAUCAUAUAUGAUGACAUUACGUGCAAUGGCAAAAUAACUACAUGUUUCACAGAUUCCAAGGGAAAUUUAAAGAAGCCCCUGAAGCAGGUUUUUUCAUUGUCCCUGCAAUCACGAGGUGGUCUACCACUGUAGUCCAUGUUACUAUGAAAAGGUUCUCAGAAUCACUUCACUAAUUUAACUAACAACAAAAAUUCAACCAAAAACAUCAAAGUACUUUUCCCAAGGAAGAUGAAAACAACAGCGUUCACUUUCUGACUCUUCAAACGGUUAACACUUGGCGAAAAUUGAAGGCGUUGACAAAAUAGGUAGUUGAUAUGUUCAUGUUGAAAUUAACUUGGUAAAGUGAUAGACUUUUAUUAAUGAAUAAAAUAAAUAUAAGCACAA